GACGAACGCUGGCGGCGUGCCUAAUACAUGCAAGUCGAACGCUGAAGAGAGGAGCUUGCUCUUCUUGGAUGAGUUGCGAACGGGUGAGUAACGCGUAGGUAACCUGCCGUGUAGCGGGGGAUAACUAUUGGAAACGAUAGCUAAUACCGCAUAACAAUGGAUGACACAUGUCAUUUAUUUGAAAGGGGCAAUUGCUCCACUACAAGAUGGACCUGCGUUGUAUUAGCUAGUAGGUGAGGUAACGGCUCACCUAGGCGACGAUACAUAGCCGACCUGAGAGGGUGAUCGGCCACACUGGGACUGAGACACGGCCCAGACUCCUACGGGAGGCAGCAGUAGGGAAUCUUCGGCAAUGGGGGCAACCCUGACCGAGCAACGCCGCGUGAGUGAAGAAGGUUGUCGGAUCGUAAAGCUCUGUUGUAAGUCAAGAACGAGUGUGAGAGUGGAAAGUUCACACUGUGACGGUAGCUUACCAGAAAGGGACGGCUAACUACGUG
rnacentral:rRNA from 1 species